rnacentral:tRNA from 1 species
GAGAAGUGGCCGAGCCUAUAUGAGGCUUCUAACCACAUAAAGAGAGGUUUAACUCCUUUCACUUCUCU